AUUGAACGCUGGCGGCAGGCCUAACACAUGCAAGUCGAGCGGAGCGGCGGACGGGCGAGUAAUGCCUAGGUAUCUGCCUUGUCUUUGGGGAUAACGUCCGGAAACGGGCCCUAAUCCCGCAUCCUAUCAGAUGAGCCUUGGUCGGAUUAGCUAGUUGGUGGGGUAAAGGCCUACCAAGGCGACGAUCCGUAGCUGAUCUGAGAGGCUGAUCAGUCACACUGGAACUGAGACACGGUCCAGACUCCUACGGGAGGCAGCAGUGGGGAAUAUUGGACAAUGGGCGAAAGCCUGACGCAGCAAUGCCGCGUGUGUGAAGAAGGUCUUCGGAUUGUAAAGCACUUUUAGUUGGGAAGCGUUACCUACAGAAUAAGCACCGGCUAACUACGUGCCAGCAGCCGCGGUAAUAC
rnacentral:rRNA from 1 species